GAUGAAGAACGUAGCGAAAUGCGAUAAGUAAUGCGAAUUGCAGAAUUUCCGUGAGUCAUCGAAUCUUUGAACGCACAUUGCGCCCAUUGGUAUUCCGAUGGGCAUGCCUGUUCGAGCGUCAUUAAGUCCACUUAAGCCCUGCUUAGUGUUGGGAGACUGCUCCAGCGGUGCUACCCUGUAGCUACCCUGCAGCUCCUCAAAGACAGCGGCGGAGUUGUGGUAUCCUCUGAGCUUAGUAACUUGUUCUAGCUUUCGAGUACACCACUUCCCCUGCCGUAAAACCCUUAAUUUUUAAUGGUUGACCUCGGAUCAGGUAGGAAUACCCGCUGAACUUAAGCAUAUCAAUAAGCGGAGGA
rnacentral:misc_RNA from 1 species